rnacentral:rRNA from 1 species
AGACCCGAAACCCGGUGAUCUAGCCAUGGGCAGGUUGAAGGUUGGGUAACACUAACUGGAGGACCGAACCGACUAAUGUUGAAAAAUUAGCGGAUGACCUGUGGCUGGGGGUGAAAGGCCAAUCAAACCGGGAGAUAGCUGGUUCUCCCCGAAAGCUAUUUAGGUAGCGCCUCGUGAAUUCAUCUCCGGGGGUAGAGCACUGUUUCGGCUAGGGGGCCAUCCCGGCUUACCAACCCGAUGCAAACUGCGAAUACCGGAGAAUGUUAUCACGGGAGACACACGGCGGGUGCUAACGUCCGUCGUGAAGAGGGAAACAACCCAGACCGCCAGCUAAGGUCCCAAAGUCAUGGUUAAGUGGGAAACGAUGUGGGAAGGCCCAGACAGCCAGGAUGUUGGCUUAGAAGCAGCCAUCAUUUAAAGAAAGCGUAAUAGCUCACUGGUCGAGUCGGCCUGCGCGGAAGAUGUAACGGGGCUAAACCAUGCACCGAAGCUGCGGCAGCGACACUGUGUGUUGUUGGGUAGGGGAGCGUUCUGUAAGCCUGUGAAGGUGGCCUGUGAGGGUUGCUGGAGGUAUCAGAAGUGCGAAUGCUGACAUAAGUAACGAUAAAGCGGGUGAAAAGCCCGCUCGCCGGAAGACCAAGGGUUCCUGUCCAACGUUAAUCGGGGCAGGGUGAGUCGACCCCUAAGGCGAGGCCGAAAGGCGUAGUCGAUGGGAAACGGGUUAAUAUUCCCGUACUUGGUGUUACUGCGAAGGGGGGACGGAGAAGGCUAUGUUGGCCGGGCGACGGUUGUCCCGGUUUAAGCGUGUAGGUGUGUGUUCCAGGUAAAUCCGGUUCACUUUAACACUGAGGCGUGACGACGA